AGAGUUUGAUCCUGGCUCAGGAUGAACGCUAGCGGCGUGCCUAACACAUGCAAGUCGAGCGAGAAGCUCAUGAUGGAUUCUUCGGAUGACAGAUUGAGCAGUUUGCNGCGGACGGGUGAGUAACCCGAGGGUAACCUACCUUAUACAGAGGGAUAGCCAUUGGAAACGAUGAUUAAUACCUCAUAAGACUACAGUAUCGCAUGAUACAGUGGUCAAAACUCCGGUGUAUAAGAUGGCCCGCGUUAGGUUAGCUAGUUGGUAAGGUAAAGGCUUACCAAGGCGACGAUCUAUAGCCGACCUGAGAGGGUGAUCGGCCACACUGGAACUGAGACACGGUCCAGACACCUCAGGGAGGCAGCAGUGGGGNAUAUUGCACAAUGGGCGAAGCCUGAUGCAGCAACGCCGCGUGAGCGAAGAAGGUCUUCGGAUCGUGAAGCUCUGUCCUAUGGGAAGACGCAUCUCGGUACGUGAGAAGCCCCAGCCUANCUACGUGCCAGCAGCCGCGUAAUNCGUAGGGNNCAAACUUAUCCGGAAUCGCUGGGCGUAAAGGGUGCGUAGGCGGUCUAUCAAGCCAGAAGUGAAAGGCAUUGGCUCUACCAAUGUAAGCUUUUGGAACUGAUGGACUUGAGUGCAGGAGAGGAAAGUGGAAUUCCUAGUGUAGAGGUGAAAUUCGUAGAUAUUAGGAGGAACACCAGUGGCGAAGGCGACUUUCUGGACUGUAACUGACGCUGAGGCACGAAAGUGUGGGGAGCGAACAGGAUUAGAUACCCUGGUAGUCCACACCGUAAACGAUGAAUACUAGGUGUCGGGGGUCGAACCUCGGUGCCGCACGUAACGCAUUAAGUAUUCCGCCUGGGGNGUACGCACGCAAGUGUGAAACUCAAAGGAAUUGACGGGGACCCGCACAAGUAGCGGAGCAUGUGGUUUAAUUCGAAGCAACGCGAAGAACCUUACCAAAUCUUGACAUCCUUAUGACCGUCUUUUAAUCGAGAAAUUCUUCGGGNNCAUAAGAGACAGGUGGUGCAUGGUUGUCGUCAGCUCGUGUCGUGAGAUGUUGGGUUAAGUCCCGCAACGAGCGCAACCCUUAUGUUUAGUUGCCAUCAGUUAGGCUGGGCACUCUAGACAGACUGCCGUGGAUAACACGGAGGAAGGUGGGGAUGACGUCAAAUCAUCAUGCCCCUUAUGAUUUGGGCUACACACGUGCUACAAUGGUCGGUACAACGGGCAGCGAAGGAGUGAUCUGGAGCGAAUCCUAAAAAGCCGAUCUCAGUUCGGAUUGUAGGCUGCAACUCGCCUACAUGAAGUUGGAGUUACUAGUAAUCGUGGAUCAGAAUGCNGNGGUGAAUGCGUUCCCGGGUCUUGUACACACCGCCNGUCACACCAUGGAAGUUGGGNGNGCCCGAAGCCAGUGAUCUAACCCGUAAGGGAGGAAGCUGUCGAAGGUGAAAUCAAUGACUAGGGUGAAGUCGUAACAAGGUAACC
rnacentral:rRNA from 1 species